AUGGCCAAGUAUUGGUGGAGUAGUUCAAUCGAUAAGAGGUCUAUGCACUGGAUUUCUUGGAAGGAACUGACAACACCAAAGUGUAAGGGUGGGAUGGGAUUUCGAGAUCCCCACCUUUUCAACAUAGCACUACUGGGUAAACAAGGCUGGCGCUUGAUCACGAAGCCUAAUACCCUAUGUGCAAGAGUACUCAAGGGCAGGUACUUCCCCGACACAGACUUCAUGCACGCUACAACUCCAAGUUCUUCCUCCGCCACCUGGAGGGCCAUCAUAGCGGGCAGGGAGGCUUUGAUCACGGGGCUCAUCAAACGUGUGGGAGAUGGAACGACAAUCUCUAUAUGGGAUGACCGGUGGAUACCA
rnacentral:rRNA from 1 species